rnacentral:tRNA from 1 species
GGCAGUGUGGCAUAGUGGUAAGGUGCGGGGCUCGUAACCAAAAGGUUGCCGGUUCAAUUCCCUGCUGGAGCACUGCUG